rnacentral:lncRNA from 1 species
CACAGAAGGAAAACUCCACCUUUUCGUCCACUGGAGAAAUGAAGCAUGCCUAAGCAUUCAUGCAGCUGUUGCAGAUGGGGGAACCCUGGUCAGUGAUUGGCCUCCUCAUGCAAACUGGGCCAGUGAAUCUCCGUGGAGGCCACGCUUUCCUGACCCAACAGUCAGCUCCCAGGAAGAAGUCCUCCCUCAUUUUCAAGGCCUCAUUCUUAGCUGUAUCUGGAGAACACUGAUAGUCCCUGAUGUGUACUGUUUUGGGAGUUAUGCAAAAUAAAUGCAUCUGACACUCCUGAUUCACUGCUCGUGAGAGGAGUUUGGUGACUCUGUACAUCAUACCAUGGACCAUAUGUGGAGAACCAAUGAACAUAAUGAAGCUGAUCAGUUGCUCCUAAGGUCACCUCUGGCUUUUUACCAAGGUAACUGCGCAUUGAAAAAGGGAAAUGAUCAGACAUUAGGAACUACUGGACACUGGCUCUGAGCUGACGUUGAUUCCAGGGGACCCAAAACAUCAUUGCGGUCCUCCAGUUAAAGUAGAGGCUUAUGGAGGUCAGGUAAUUAAUGGAGUUUUAACUCAGAUCUGACUUACAGUGGGUCCAGUGGGUCCCCCAACACAUCCUGUGUCAUUUCCCCAGUGCCAGAAUGCAUAAUUGCAUAAGCAUACUUAGCAGCUGGCAGAACCACCACAGUGGCUCCCUGACUGGUAGGGUGAGGGCUAUGAUGAUGGGAAAGGCCAAAUGGAAACCAUUAGAGCUACCUCUACCUAGAAAAAUAGUAAAUCAAAAACAAUAUGGUAUCCCUGGAGCAAUUGUUGAGAUUAGUGCCAUCAUCAAGGACUUGAAGACCCAGGGGUGGUGAUUCCCAGCACAUCCCCAUUCAAUUAUCUCAUUUGGCCUGUGGAGAAGACAGAUGAAUCUUGGAGAAUGACAGUGGAUUAUCAUAAGCUUAACCAAGUGGUGACUCCAAUUGCAGCUGCCAAACCAGAUGUGGUUUCAUUGCUUGAGUAAAUUAACACAUCUCCUGGUACCUAGUGUGCAGCCAUUGACUUGGCAAAUGCCUUUUUCUCCAUUCCUGUCCAUAAGGCCCACCAGAAGCAAUUUGCCUUCGGCUGGCAAGGCCAGCAAUAUACCUUUACUGUCCUACAUCAAGGGUGUAUGAACUCACUGGCUUUGUGUCAUAAUCUUAUUCAGAGAGAACUUGAUUGCUUUUUGACUCCAGAAGAUAUCACACUGGACCAUUACAUUGAUGACAUUAUGCUGAUUGGAUCCAGUGAGAAAGAAGUAGCAAACACACUGGACUUAUUGGUGAGACAUUUGCAUGCCAGAGGAUGGGAUAUAAAUCUGCCUAAAUUCAGAGACCUUCUACCUCAGUAAAAUUUCUAGGGGUCCAGUGAUGUGGGGCCUGUCGAGUUAUUCCUUCUAAGGUGAAGGAGAAGUUGCUGCAUUUGGCCCUUCCUACAACCAAGAAAGAGGCACAAUACCUAGUGGGACUAUUUGGAUGUUGGAGGCAACACAUUCCUCAUUUGGGUGUGUUACUCCAGCACAUUUAUCGAGUGACCCGAAAGGCUGCCAGUUUUGAGUGGGGUUCAGAAUAGGAGAAGGCUCUAAAACAGUUCCAGGCUGCUGUGCAAGCUGCUCUGUCACUUGGGCCAUAUGAUCCAGCAGAUUCAAUGGUGCUUGAGGUGUCAGUGGCAGAUAGGGAUGCUGUUUGGAGCCUUUGGCAGGCUUCCAUAGGUAAUCACAGCAGAAGCCUCUAGGAUUUUUGAGCAAAGCCCUGCCAUCUUCUG